GUUGUCAUGUUUGUGCUGCAAUGAUGUAGCCCAGAUAUGACUGACAUGGUGCCCAUCACUGCACCCUGUCCCACGGAAUACACUCUACCUUUGCAAGGAAGGGCUGCAGCCAAUGGGUGUUCCAGGGGACAUAGCAUACCUGGUAACAAGGGGGAGCUGGAGGACCCUCUUUUGGGGCUCGGAGACGGCUCCGCUAGCACUUUUACCCUGGAGACGUGAUCAACCGGAGUUGAAAGGUGGCUCUUUUCACACCAACAGACGUCACUGAAACUGUGCAGAUAAUUGGAACGAGAAGCUACAAAGGUGUUAAUGGCACCAGCAGCCGGGCCUUUGACCUAUACGCAAUUAUAGACCUGCUUGAAGCUGCUGACUGCUAACCAGAUGCCAAGGGCUCUGUGUGUCUUCCAUUUCCUCCUUCCAGUUCUCCGAUUUUCACCAAAAUCAAAACCACUGAUGCCUCGAACAUUCUCUGAAAUUUUGGAUUCGAUUGGGUGCGGCAUUCAAACGUUAUUGCAUUACAUCCCAAUAUCCAAACAGAGACAUACCAUCAAAUUGAGUGUAGGACCUUGCUUUGCUUGGCUGAUAAUGCUCAGUCUGGCUGUCAGCGGGUGCAACGUCAGUAGAGUUCUGUCUUGGGCCCCACCACCAGAGCCUCUAACAGCCUGUGACACAAUGGUGUCUUUGAAGUUAGUGCAUCUUUGCAGAGGCCAGAUCUGCCAGGUUUAUGUAGCCUGCAAGCCCUGGUUUAGCUUCUGCGAUCCCAUGCUCUAAGGUGGUAUGAAGUCAUGGCGAAGCUUCUCUGGGUAGUUUUCAUAAUUGCCAUGUUAGAAAAUAUUAUGGUCUGUGGAAAUCUGUUUGUUAUUGUGAAUCAAGCUAAAGAACUAUACAGUACUUUGUAAACCAAGCUGUCAGCUGAAUGUCUCCCCCAGAGAUCUCCAGUGAGUAUUUAGCUGAGACAUUUGUAUAUAUGGAAUUACAUCUCCAGUUAUUUGUCAUGAUAGUAAACAGAGGGAAAACUAUUAACCAUGCAUCACAAUAAUGAACAAUAUCACUUACAAACGUUGCCGUGUAAAGCUGAAUGAAAGCUAACAAGGCCACAUUCUGCAGAGAAACAGGGCAGGUAAUGCUAUCUCCAUGGCCUCUUAGCUUAACCCCGGGGUUCUCAAACUGGGGGGUCGCAAGGUUAUUACUUGGGGGGUUGUGAGCUGUCAGCCUCCACCCCAAACCCUGCUUCACCGCCAGCAUUUAUAAUAGUGUUAAAUAUAAAAAAGUUUUUUUAAUUUACAUGGGGGGGGGUCUCAUUCAGAGGCUUGCUGUGUGAAAGGGGUCACCACUACAAAAGUUUGAGAACCACUGGCUAACACAAUGGCAUUUUCCAGACUGUCACCAGCUGAAUGACUGCAUCAAAGGACAGAUAUCUGUUGUAGGGACUGCCAUACCAGGUCAGACCAGUGGCCUGUCUAGUGCAGUCUCCUAUCUCCAGGAGGGGACAGUCCCUGAUGUUUCAAAGGAAGGUGCAAGUAACCGCAGAGAGGACAAUUAUGGAUUAACCUGCGGGCUGUUUCUCAGUAACCCUGAGAUUGAUUUAUAUCCUAACAAAAGCAUGUUUAUAACAAUGCUGUUUUUUCCACAUGUAAUGUGACCGUGUCUGCAACCUCUAAAGGAACAAUGGGCCAGACUCCCCAUUGGUGUAAAUCAGGAUCGCUCUACUGAAGUCAGUGGGCUAGAUUCCUAGUUGGUGUAAAUCUACAAGGCAGUGUGGCCUAGUGGUACAGCGCCGGACAGGGUUAUGUUCUCCUCUCUGCUACUGGCCUGAUCGGUGACACUGGCCAAAUCACUUCAUGGCCUCAGUUUCCCUUUCUGUGCACUGUGGAUAAUGAUGCUGACUUCCUUUGUAAAGCACUGUGAGAUCACCUGAUGCUAAGUGCUAUUAUUAUCAUUAUCAAGUCAAUGGGCCUAAUCCCCAGCUGGUGUCAAUUGGUGCAAUUCGAUUGACUUCAGUGCAGCUAUGCUGAUUUACACAUGCUAAGAGUCUGUCGAAUAAAUCUAUUUUAAUCAA